AUCCGGUGCUUGCACCGGGGAUUAGUGGCGAACGGGUGAGUAACACGUGAGUAACCUGCCCUUGACUCUGGGAUAAGCCUGGGAAACCGGGUCUAAUACCGGAUACGACCUUUCACCGCAUGGUGGUUGGUGGAAAGAUUUUUUGGUUUUGGAUGGACUCGCGGCCUAUCAGCUUGUUGGUGAGGUAAUGGCUCACCAAGGCGACGACGGGUAGCCGGCCUGAGAGGGUGACCGGCCACACUGGGACUGAGACACGGCCCAGACUCCUACGGGAGGCAGCAGUGGGGAAUAUUGCACAAUGGGCGCAAGCCUGAUGCAGCGACGCCGCGUGAGGGAUGACGGCCUUCGGGUUGUAAACCUCUUUCAGCAGGGAAGAAGCGAAAGUGACGGUACCUGCAGAAGAAGCGCCGGCUAACUACGUGCCAGCAGCCGCGGUAAUACGUAGGGCGCAAGCGUUGUCCGGAAUUAUUGGGCGUAAAGAGCUCGUAGGCGGUUUGUCGCGUCUGCUGUGAAAGCCCGGGGCUCAACCCCGGGUCUGCAGUGGGUACGGGCAGACUAGAGUGCAGUAGGGGAGACUGGAAUUCCUGGUGUAGCGGUGAAAUGCGCAGAUAUCAGGAGGAACACCGAUGGCGAAGGCAGGUCUCUGGGCUGUAACUGACGCUGAGGAGCGAAAGCAUGGGGAGCGAACAGGAUUAGAUACCCUGGUAGUCCAUGCCGUAAACGUUGGGCACUAGGUGUGGGGGACAUUCCACGUUUUCCGCGCCGUAGCUAACGCAUUAAGUGCCCCGCCUGGGGAGUACGGCCGCAAGGCUAAAACUCAAAGGAAUUGACGGGGGCCCGCACAAGCGGCGGAGCAUGCGGAUUAAUUCGAUGCAACGCGAAG
rnacentral:rRNA from 1 species